rnacentral:tRNA from 1 species
GGAGGGGUGGCUGAGUGGUUGAAGGCAACGGUCUUGAAAACCGUCACACCUUAACGGGUGUCGCGAGUUCGAAUCUCGCCCCCUCCGCCA